CUAUGGGGUGCUCCAGUGAGGAAUAUUGCGCAAUGGGGGAAACCCUGACGCAGCGACGCCGCGUGGAUGAUGAAGGCCUUCGGGUCGUAAAAUCCUGUCAGAAGGAAAGAAGUGUAUGGUAGCUAAUAUCUGCCAUACUUGACGGUACCUUCAAAGGAAGCACCGGCUAACUCCGUGCCAGCAGCCGCGGUAAUACGGAGGGUGCAAGCGUUGUUCGGAAUUACUGGGCGUAAAGCGCGCGUAGGCGGUUUUAUAAGUCAGAUGUGAAAGUCCACGGCUCAACCAUGGAAGUGCAUUUGAAACUGUAAGACCUGAGUAUUGGAGGGGGUAGUGGAAUUCCCGGUGUAGAGGUGAAAUUCGUAGAUAUCGGGAGGAAUACCGGUGGCGAAGGCGACUAUCUGGCCAAAUACUGACGCUGAGGUGCGAAAGCGUGGGGAGCAAACAGGAUUAGAUACCCGGGUAGUC
rnacentral:rRNA from 1 species